CACGUAGGGGGCAAGCGUUGUCCGGAUUUAUUGGGCGUAAAGAGCUCGUAGGUGGUUCGGUAAGUCAGGCGUGAAACCUCCAGGCUCAACCUGGAGACGCCACUUGAUACUGCUGUGACUGGAGUCCGGUAGGGGAGCGUGGAAUUCCUGGUGUAGCGGUGAAAUGCGCAGAUAUCAGGAGGAACACCAGCGGCGAAGGCGGCGCUCUGGGCCGGGACUGACGCUGAGGAGCGAAAGCGUGGGUAGCAAACCGG
rnacentral:rRNA from 1 species